rnacentral:rRNA from 1 species
AACGAACGCUGGCGGCAUGCCUAACACAUGCAAGUCGAACGAGACCUUCGGGUCUAGUGGCGCACGGGUGCGUAACGCGUGGGAACCUGCCCUUAGGUUCGGAAUAACUCCCCGAAAGGGGUGCUAAUACCGGAUAAUGUCUUCGGACCAAAGAUUUAUCGCCUUUGGAUGGGCCCGCGUUGGAUUAGCUAGUUGGUAGGGUAAAAGCCUACCAAGGCGACGAUCCAUAGCUGGUCUGAGAGGAUGAUCCGCUACACUGGGACUGAGACACGGCCCAGACUCCUACGGGAGGCAGCAGUGGGGAAUAUUGGACGAGGGGCGAAAGCCUGAUCCAGCAAUGCCGCGUGAGUGAUGAAGGCCUUAGGGUUGUAAAGCUCUUUUACCCGGGAUGAUAAUGACAGUACCGGGAGAAUAAGCACCGGCUAACUACGUG